rnacentral:lncRNA from 1 species
UUUGCACUUUUUUUCUUUUUUUUCUUUUCUCUCAACCACUUCUUUUUCUUUCUCCUUAUCUUUCUCUUCCUCACUCAACCUUUUUGUUUCUUUCUCCUCUAUCUUUUUCUCCUCUAUCUUUUCCUUAUUUCUCUCCAUUUUUUUCAACUCUAUCUUCUCGUCAUAUAUCUCUAUCUUUUCCUCCCCUAUCUUUUCCUUAUUUCUCUCCAUUUUUGUCUCCUCUAUCUUCUCCUCAUUUAUCUCUAUCCUUUCUUCCUUAAUCUUCUCCUUCUUUCUCUCCAUUGUUUUCUCCUCUAUCUUCUCUUCAUAUAUCUCUAUCUUUUCCUCCUUUAUCUUUUCCUUAUC